rnacentral:rRNA from 1 species
CACCGCGGUUAUACGAGAGGCCCAAGCUGACGGCACCUCGGCGUAAAGGGUGGUUAGGAAAAAAUUAACUAAAGCCGAAUGCUCUCUAAGCUGUUAUACGCUCUCGAGAAUAAGAAGCCCUAUAACGAAAGUAGCUUUAUAAUAUUGAAUCCACGAAAGCUAAGGAA